GGGAGUGUGGUCGAGUGGUCUAAGACGUUGCCCUUAAGAUGCAAUGCAGAAAUGCGCAUGGGUUCGAACCCCAUCGCUCCCA
rfam:Calocera viscosa TTFC12733 unplaced genomic scaffold CALVIscaffold_78, whole genome shotgun sequence.